GUAGGGAAUCUUCCGCAAUGGACGCAAGUCUGACGGAGCAACGCCGCGUGAGUGAAGAAGGUUUUCGGAUCGUAAAGCUCUGUUGCCAAGGAAGAACGCCUUGGGGAGAAACUGCCCUGAGGGUGACGGUACUUGAGAAGAAAGCCCCGGCUAACUACGUGCCAGCAGCCGCGGUAAUACGUAGGGGGCAAGCGUUGUCCGGAAUUAUUGGGCGUAAAGCGCGCGCAGGCGGCGGCUUAAGUUUGGUGUAUAAGCCCGGGGCUCAACCCCGGAUCGCACCGAAAACUGGGCGGCUUGAGUGCAGGAGAGGAAAGCGGAAUUCCACGUGUAGCGGUGAAAUGCGUAGAGAUGUGGAGGAACACCAGUGGCGAAGGCGGCUUUCUGGACUGUAACUGACGCUGAGGCGCGAAAGCGUGGGGAGCAAACAGGAUUAGAAACCCGAGUAGUCC
rnacentral:rRNA from 1 species